rnacentral:rRNA from 1 species
CCUACGGGUGGCUGCAGUCGAGAAUCAUUCACAAUGGGGGAAACCCUGAUGGUGCGACGCCGCGUGGGGGAAUGAAGGUCUUCGGAUUGUAAACCCCUGUCAUGUGGGAGCAAAUUAAAAAGAUAGUACCACAAGAGGAAGAGACGGCUAACUCUGUGCCAGCAGCCGCGGUAAUACAGAGGUCUCAAGCGUUGUUCGGAAUCACUGGGCGUAAAGCGUGCGUAGGCGGUUUCGUAAGUCGUGUGUGAAAGGCGCGGGCUCAACCCGCGGACGGCAGAUGAUACUGCGAGACUGGAGUAAGGGAGGGGGAACCGGAAUUCUCGGUGUAGCAGUGAAAUGCGUAGAUAUCGAGAGGAACACUCGUGGCGAAGGCGGGUUCCUGGACAUUAACUGACGCUGAGGCACGAAGGCCAGGGGAGCGAAAGGGAUUAGAUACCCUAGUAGUC